rnacentral:rRNA from 1 species
UACGAAGGGUGCAAACGUUGCUCGGAAUUAUUGGGCGUAAAGCGCACGUAGGCGGCUUAGCAAGUUGGAUGUGAAAGCCCUCGGCUUAACCAAGGAAGUGCAUCCAAAACUGCUGAGCUUGAGUAGUUAAGAGGAUCGCGGAAUUCCCGGUGUAGAGGUGAAAUUCGUAGAUAUCGGGAGGAACACCAGUGGCGAAGGCGGCGCGCUGGAUCUCUUCUGACGCUGAGGCGCGAAAGCCAGGGGAGCGAACGGG